GGAGAAUGACGUCCAUGUUUUGCUCCAGCUCAUCCCAGCCUGGCGUGGGACAGGGAAGAGAAAUAGCUGCAGUGGAGUCAGUCCAGGGGCCGGUGACCUUCGAGGAGGUGGCUGUGUAUUUCACCAGAAGAGUGGGCUGUGCUGGACCCUGCUCAGAGAGCCUUCUACUGGGAUGUCAUACAGGAGAACUAUGAGACUGUGACCUCGCUAGGCUACAGAAUAACAUCCAUGUUUCGCUGCAGAUCAUCUCGUCCUCCCAGGGGCAAGGAAAUGGCUGCAAUGGAGCUGGCUCAGGGGCCAGUGACCUUCGAGGAGGUGGCUGUGUAUUUCUCCAG